rnacentral:rRNA from 1 species
UACGUAGGUGGCAAGCGUUAUCCGGAAUUAUUGGGCGUAAAGCGCGCGCAGGUGGUUUAAUAAGUCUGAUGUAAAAGGCAGUGGCUCAACCAUUGUAUGCAUUGGAAACUGGUAGACUUGAGUGCAGGAGAGGAGAGUGGAAUUCCAUGUGUAGCGGUGAAAUGCGUAGAUAUAUGGAGGAACACCGGUGGCGAAAGCGGCUCUCUGGCCUGUAACUGACACUGAGGCUCGAAAGCGUGGGGAGCAAACAGG